rnacentral:rRNA from 1 species
UACAGAGGUCUCAAGCGUUUGUUCGGAUUCAUUGGGCGUAAAGGGUGCGUAGGCGGCGCGGUAAGUCGGAUGUGAAAUCUUGGAGCUUAACUCCGAAACUGCAUUCGAUACUGCCGUGCUUGAGGACUGGAGAGGAGACUGGAAUUUACGGUGUAGCGGUGAAAUGCGUAGAUAUCGUAAGGAAGACCAGUGGCGAAGGCGGGUCUCUGGACAGUUCCUGACGCUGAGGCACGAAGGCCAGGGGAGCAAACGGG